GACGAACGCUGGCGGCGUGCUUAACACAUGCAAGUCGAACGGAAAGGCCCUGCUUUUGUGGGGUGCUCGAGUGGCGAACGGGUGGGUAACACGUGAGUAACCUGCCCUUGACUUUGGGAUAACUUCAGGAAACUGGGGCUAAUACCGGAUAGGAGCUCCUGCUGCAUGGUGGGGGUUGGAAAGUUUCGGCGGUUGGGGAUGGACUCGCGGCUUAUCAGCUUGUUGGUGGGGUAGUGGCUUACCAAGGCUUUGACGGGUAGCCGGCCUGAGAGGGUGACCGGCGACAUUGGGACUGAGAUACGGCCCAGACGCCUACGGGAGGCAGCAGUGGGGAAUAUUGCACAAUGGGCGGAAGCCUGAUGCAGCAACGCCGCGUGCGGGAUGACGGCCUUCGGGUUGUAAACCGCUUUCGCCUGUGACGAAGCGUGAGUGACGGUAAUGGGUAAAGAAGCACCGGCUAACUACGUG
rnacentral:rRNA from 1 species